AUUUCCUACGGGGGGCAGCAGUGGGGAAUAUUGGGCAAUGGGCGCAAGCCUGACCCAGCAACGCCGCGUGAAGGAAGAAGGUACUUAGUAUUGUAAACUUCUUUUGUCGGGGAACAAAGGCGGAGACGCGUCUCCGGAUGAGUGUACCCGAAGAAAAAGCAUCGGCUAACUCCGUGCCAGCAGCCGCGGUAAUACGGAGGAUGCGAGCGUUAUCCGGAUUUAUUGGGUUUAAAGGGUGCGCAGGCGGGAGAUCAAGUCAGCGGUAAAAUGUCGGGGCUCAACCCCGGCCGGCCGUUGAA
rnacentral:rRNA from 1 species